AACUAUUGUAGUCACAAAAUUAUCAAGAUUUCCUUCCGCAUCCUCCCCCACGUGAGAAUAGUCAGUCAUGCUGAGAUGAGUGGAAUAUUCACACUUGGGGCUUGGCGAUGCCUUUGCUGAAUACCUGGUCUUCUAUCACAUUGAAAGACUGCAGAAAACUCAGAAGCAGAUUCUGGAUUCAGCCAAAGGAAUAAGAUGAGAUAAAAGCUCCCAGACACCUUGAAUCCAGGUACUAUGCUAAAUCCAGGAGUAAAAUGUUGAUGAGAACACUCCAUGUGAGAAGCAAGUUGAAUCUAGUGGACUCUCUGAAUUGAAGAUGUACUGCAGAGAAUCUGGGAAAGUUAAGAAGGUUACACAGUGUGAAUGAAAUACCAGAGUGGAGAAAGCUUCACAGAACAACUACUCCAAAGAUCUAUCUCAGAGCUCUGCUGAGCAUCCACUGGAGUGCUGGUCACUCCGGUGAUCA
rnacentral:lncRNA from 1 species